rnacentral:rRNA from 1 species
UAGUCUUUUAAUUAAGGACUGGAAUGAAAGGUUUAACUAAGCAAAAAUGUCUUAUUUUAAUAUUUUGAAAUUUAUAUUAUAGUAAAAAAGCUAUAAUUAUUUUAAGGGACGAGAAGACCCUGUCAAGCUUUACAAAUAUAUUUUUAAUUUCAAUCUAAAUAAAUUAUUUGUUUAACUGGGGCAGUUGAUGGACAAAUAAAAUUCCAUUUAAUUAUUAUGAUAAAUUAAUCUAGAAAUAUCAAAAAAUUUUUAAAAAAAAAUAAGUUACUGCAGGGAUAACAGCAUAAUUUUCUUGAAGAGUUCAAAUCGAUAAGAAAGUUUGUGACCUCGAUGUUGGAUUAAGAAUCCUAUUUUGCGCAGCAGUACCAAAAGG